rnacentral:rRNA from 1 species
ACAUGCAAGUCGAGGGGCAGCAUGUCCAGCAAUGGAUGAUGGCGACCGGCGGAAGGGUGCGUAACGCGUGAGCAACAUGCCCUAUACAGGGAGAUACACCAGGGAAACUUGGUCUAAUAUCCCAUAGCAUUCAUUGAAGGCAUCUUUAACGAAUUAAAGCUUCGGUGGUAUAGGAUUGGCUCGCGUGACAUUAGCCGGAUGGUGAGGUAACGGCUCACCAUAGCAAUGAUGUCUAGGGGUUUUGAGAGGAAGGCCCCCCACACUGGGACUGAGACACGGCCCAGACUCCUACGGGAGGCAGCAGUGAGGAAUAUUGGACAAUGGAUGGAAAUCUGAUCCAGCCAUGCCGCGUGCAGGAAGACGGCCUUAUGGGUUGUAAACUGCUUUUAUACGGGAGCAAUAAGGGUUACGAGUAAUCCGAUGAGAGUACUGUAUGAAUAAGGAUCGGCUAACUCCGUGCCAGCAGCCGCGGUAAUACGGAGGAUCCGAGCGUUAUCCGGAAUUAUUGGGUUUAAAGGGUGCGUAGGCGGCCAUUUAAGUCAGCGGUGAAAUUUUGCAGCUUAACUGUAACAGUGCCGUUGAUACUGUUUGGCUAGGAUUUGGUUGUAGUGUGCGGAAUGUGUGGUGUAGCGGUGAAAUGCGUAGAUAUCACACAGAACACCGAUUGCGAAGGCGGCACACUAAGUCAUUAUUGACGCUGAGGCACGAAAGUGUGGGGAUCAAACAGGAUUAGAUACCCUGGUAGUCCACACUGUAAACGAUGAUAACUCGCUGUCGGCGAUACACAGUCGGUGGCCAAGCGAAAGC